GCUUCCUUAGUUUAAGGGUAGAACAUCGCUAUGACACGGCGAAUACGGUGGCUCGACUCCACCAGGAAGCACCA
rnacentral:tRNA from 1 species